AUUGAUAUUUGGGAGAGAACUUUUAAAAACAUACUGUGUUUAAAUUUUUUUAUUAUCUCUAAUGGACUCUAAAAGAAGGUAGAUCAAUCCACAGAGCUAGCUAGCUAAUAGAACCAGUGACGGAAUCCAAGUAUAUAUAAGUUUAUGUAUGUAAACACACAAUAAUGGCAUUAUUUGGCUGUUAGUAUGGUAAUCUAAUCAUUAGUAGCCUAAACAUUCAAAUCCAAUUAUUUAACAUUAUUAAGCACAGAACUGAUAUGUCCUGGUACAGAUGUCAUGUAUAUUGGCUGUUAACUACUCUGUUACCCGGUACCAGUGAUGGUAGGGAAAAAUAGUAGCCAACAGGUUUCUUUUCCUAUGUUUAAGUCAGUGGAACUUAACAUUGCCCCAUAUACAAAAUCUUAGAUCUUACUAUCCCCAUCAAUGGGGAUAUUACAAUAAAUAAAUGUACUACUGCUUUUAGCACCUGUUCCCCUGCUGCAAACUUCCAGUCUUUCAGCAUACCAUCUUCUUACAUCUCUAGAGGGAAGUGGUAUGGUUCCUUACCUUAUCUUUAAGAAGUUGCUAUCUAUACUGUGCUAGUCUCUAUGCCGAAGCAUUUCAUCAUAUGGGCCUAAGAAUAUUAUAGAAGGUCAUGCCUGAAACAGGGCAGCCUGGGGAGCCCCAGGAAACAACACUAUUUCUGUAGCCCAUCUUCGAUAUGAAAGCAAUUCUGGAAGAAGAUGUUAGGAUUCUCAGUUACUGGUCUUGGUUUAUAUUUAAGUGGAUACCUAUAAUAGUACUUUGUAAGAUGUCAAGUUCCCAUGUUUUGUUUUGUUUUCUUACACAAGGCUCUGAGGGUCAUCUGCUGGGCUAGACAAUAGCUUGGGAGGCAGAAGCUGGAAUGAGGAGAGAUUCUGGCAACUCUAGCUACAUACCAGAGCUUCUGCCUUAUGUGGGUUUGGAUUGGACCACUGCUCAGAGUCUUUCUUGCUCUGCAAGUCUGAAUAAAAUGUAUAAUCGGCACUCCCCUAACCACCUGGGCCCUCCAUUUUGUAAUUGCUACAUUGUGAGAUCCACAAAAACUGGGAAUGUGCUUUGUUCAUAUUUACAUUCUUACUAUCUAUCCCUUCUACAACCCUGUGUCAGACGAUAAGGAAGGAUCAUUUAAAAGAGUGAAGGGGCUCACCUUAGGGUUCAUUUUAGGUUAGCUUGGGGAACUAUAGUCUGACAAUGACAAUUUAGGUUAAAUUUUUUAAAUUAAAAAUUAUAUAAAAUUAUAAUUAAGUAAUAUAUAAUUAUACAAAAUUAUAAAUAAUAGUAUAAUGAAUCCCUGUGUAUCCAUCCAUCCCUUCUAAGAAAGAUUUCCCAUCUCUUCUUCUGCUAUAUGCUAGGUGAAUGGCUAAUAGCAUGUAACAGUCUUGAAUGUUCUGUGGAGUACAAAACCUGCAGCCUUUGUCAUUUAUGGUGUUGGGUAGUAUUCUGAACCUUGUAAGUCAUGAUCUUAAACUGUUGUUCUCAGUAAAUAUCCUUUUGAGUCUUAAAAUUCUUGAUUGUUUUAUCUUUCACUAAAAUGUCAAGCUCUAGCCCUUGAGAGCUGUCUGUUAGGAGGUCGGUCUUUUCGGAAUGAGUUUUAAUCUCUAGCAAAAAUAUAUUUUUGGUUAAACAUUAAAUGGGAGUAGCUUUUGAGUGUUACACAAGCCUUGUGAACUGACAAGUUGAAAUGUUUUAAUUUGACUUAAGUAUGUACAAACCUUCGAAAGCCUGAAGGAGAAAUUUUAAACUUACACCAUUAAAUACAUUCAGAAAGCUAUUUUUAGCAUCUACAUUUUGUAAUAAAAUUAAUCCUGCUACUUCUUUAUUAGUUAGGUCACAAGGUUAUGUUUUAAAAGGCCCUAAAGCAGAUUUACCCUGAAUACUGUACUGGGUGAUAACUUCUACUAGUGGAAAGCCAUUCAUUGCUCUUAUGCAAAUUAAGUGACCCUAAUUUGCCUUUAUUCCAUUCCAUAGAACUACCUUUGUGCCUCUGGAGCUGAGCACAAGCUGUAAUAGUUGCCUUUGAAUCCAAAUCUUUGUGAAAGCAGAUACAUUCUUUAUUUGAGUAUACUGACAUUUAUGAGAUAUUUCAAUAAUUUUUGGAUAUGGAUUAAGAAUAUUAGCUCCCAUUCAUUACUUUAAAGGAAGAAACUCUCUUGUUAUAAAUUUGAUAGAACUUUUCCACUUUAUUUUCAAGCAUCUAUGGGAUAAUUUUUACUCUUCUGUCUAAAGCGACCCCACAAAAUGUAGGUUAGGUCUACCUUUAAACCUAAGGUGUAGAUUAUAAACACAUUUUUGGUUUGCAGCACAACAGUAGGCAUUCCUAUAAAUUAGUUUGAGAAAUUAAUUUUAUUUUGUACAAGGUAUGAUCCCUCUGCACAGUGAACAAAUAUAUUACAAAUCUGGGUUGUUUAAAAAAAGUAUUGCCAUUUCAGUCUCACUUAUUCUAUUGUACAAUAAUUGUUUUUCUUUAUUCAUUUGAAUUAUAUGCACAUCACUUUGAGUGAAAACUUAGUUUCUGUAAAAUUCUUGAACAGAUCUUUCCAAGUUAUCAAUAAAAUCCAUAGUGCACAUGUUUAGAUUGAACAUGAACUUAUUUUUGACAGUGCUAGACAGUUCCUAACAGUUGCUCUAAAAGAUUGAAAUGUCUUUUACCAGUAACUCUUAGAUAUGUGAAGAAAACUGUUGUCAACAGUUAAUCACACUCUCUGUCUUUCCCUUUUCCUGUAUUGCCUGAUUUAAUUUGUGGUACAUUUCCUUAAAAAUCAGAAUGCUAGAGCUGAAGGGUCUUAGGGUUCCCUUACCCCUCUUUGCUUCUUUCUUUUUUUACACAAGGGGAAAAAAGAGCCCAGAGAGGGCAAGUAACACUCACAUCUCUUGACCCAGUGCUUAGCAAUUCCAUCAUGCCACCUCUUGCUGAAAUUUGCCCAGAAGAUUGUUGGCAAAAAAGAGGUGAAACUUAAAACGUGAGUGAUGGUGCUUGUUUGCAGUUUGCCAGGCAGCAGUUACUAUACAUGCAGGGUAAGGGAAGAAGAUUAAACCUGGAAUUGAGAUGAAGUUUCUCCUUGCUGAUCUGACUUCACCAUGAUUCUUGGUCCUUGCUUCACAAAGAUAAUUGAGCACUUGCUGCCCUAAAAUACUGAGAGUUGGCACAAGAAUUUGAUUUCCUGCAUGAGAGAGGAGUGCAGUCCUGGGAAAGGCAGUUCACCUUGGAUUCCUUAAAAAGCAAUGAAAGAAAGAUGUCGACAAGGAUGGCACAUCUGUGUACGGAGACCCCCUGUGCACAGGCGACUUCAUUUCUACAUAGCUGCUUUCUGGAAGCUUGCAGGUGAGGAUGGGUGGGUCCUUAAUUGUGGCGUAAGGGUUUUCACUGCUGUUCAAGGAGCAAGUGCUAGAACUGCACACGGAUUCUUUCAUGUAAUCUGAAAGGCAAGAGAGAUUUCUUAGGACAAGCAAGGACAUAAGACUUAGUUUAAAUAGACUGCAGUCAAGUUCAUGUGCUUUCAGGAUCUUGGAGCUAUAAAAGCCUGUUGUGUCCAAGAGUUACUUAUUAAAUAUAUUGAGUGCUUUCCUAGGUAGGUAGAGGUUUUUUUCUAAAAAAAAAAUUUUGUU